UACGGGGGGGGCAAGCGUUGUUCGGAUUCAUUGGGCGUAAAGGGUGUGUAGGUGGCGCCGUAAGUCGGGUGUGAAAUUUCGGAGCUUAACUCCGAAACUGCAUUCGAUACUGCGGUGCUUGAGGACUGGAGAGGAGACUGGAAUUCAUGGUGUAGCAGUGAAAUGCGUAGAGAUCAUGAGGAACACCAAUUGCGAAGGCAGCUCGCUGGGACGUAACUGACGCUGAGACGCGAAAGCGUGGGGAGCAAACAGG
rnacentral:rRNA from 1 species